rnacentral:misc_RNA from 1 species
UACGGAGGGUGCAAGCGUUAAUCGGAAUUACUGGGCGUAAAGCGCGCGUAGGCGGCUUGUUAAGUUGGAGGUGAAAUCCCCGGGCUCAACCUGGGAACUGCUUUCAAAACUGACAGGCUUGAGUGCAGCAGAGGAUAGUGGAAUUUCUAGUGUAGCGGUGAAAUGCGUAGAUAUUAGAAGGAACACCAGUGGCGAAGGCGACUGUCUGGGCUGACACUGACGCUGAGGUGCGAAAGCGUGGGGAGCAAACAGG